CGGUCCGCGGUUCGAUGUCCAUGGCCGCUGCGAUGGUUCGCUUGGACGGAAACGGCUUGCCUUCUGCCGUCCACCAAUAGGACGCGAUGUGCAGGAUGAUGUUGAUGUCGAUCGCAUCCAGCCCCCGGGCANNNAAAGAUGACGUUCGGCAGGACCGUCCACCCGGCCUUCAUCAAGGUGGCGGUCCACUUCUUUUCGUUGACCUUAAGCUGGGUAACUUCCGGUGCUGGUGCUGUGUUUGCGG
rnacentral:misc_RNA from 1 species